ensembl:lncRNA
CCAAGACCGGCCAUGUUGCUGCUGCUCUUCCCCUGCAAUUUUGCCCCGGACCGUCAGAACGUCGUGCAACGGGACUGCUGCCAGAUCCUGGUGCUUUUUGACUUCUGAUGACUUCAGUUCAAGUCCCAGUUGGGCUCCUGAUCAGCAGGGUAGCUGAUUUCCCAAUGAAGAAAGAGAGGAAAUGUGUAAACUUGUUGAAGUGCUCCACAAGCUCCAGCUUGCAAACCUCGCAGAGGCUGCAGUCCAUCCAGUGCUCAGACUCUCACCUAAUACAACAUACUGUAAGUUGUGAAGAAAUGUGUUUAAGUAUAAAUAGUCUCUACUGGCUUCAGGAAGUAAAACUGUUCCCUUAGUUUAGUCAACAUAUUGCUUGCUGGGGAAGCCGAGAGGCCAAUUUCCUAAGCUCACCAGUGAUUUCCCCCUGUAAAAUGGAAGUUAGCAAUAAUUGUGUGUAUAAUAUUGUCUAUUAGGUAGUGCAUAAAGGCUUGCAUUGUAUGUACAUACUGUAGUUGUAUAGAAAACAUUACAGAGUGAGCCUGCUUUUAGCUUGAUGCCUCAUACAGUGGUAAUUGAGGAGAACAGCCUUUUGAUUUGCUACUAUUUGCAGUUCUGCAGGAAAAACUAAGUUUAGGCUAUCUUGUGCUGUGCAUUGUUGCCCUGUUUAAUCUUCUGAUUCGCUAGGAACAAUUACAUGCGACACCUAUGGAGAAUUUAAUUGCUUAGCUCCUGCCUCUAUGGCAAUUGUAAUUACUGUGCAGUACUAUUUGAAAAAAAAAACUGUGGUGUUUUUUAGAACAUAGCACUGAAUAAUACCAAGGUUAGAUUCAUACAACAGCAUAGCUCCAAGAAUUAGCUUCCAGAAUUAACCCUGUGUUCUUUUGAUGAGAGCCCAGGCAAAAUAAAGCAACGGUUAUUGUAAAUAUCCUCAUGUAAAGAUUUCUAUACACACUCUUCAAAUGCAUUUAUCCACCAAAUAUAUGUGGGAGUUAGCACAGCAUCUUUUUCCCCCUCCUUUUCCAGCUGAGGAAACUAAGGCACAGAAAUGUGCUGCCUAAUUUGUCUUUAUGAAAAAUCCAAAGAAGGGAAAAUUAGUAUGUGAAAAAUUUUGAGUUUAUAGCAUUUUCAAGCUCCUUUUACUUCUCAUGGAUGUAGCUUUGAAAGAAACAUAAUAGGCAAAAGAUGUGCCUUUUUAAGCUUUAAAACCCUAAAAAUUUCUGUAAAAUGGAACAUAAUAAAUAAAUGAAUAAAUG